UACGGGGGGGGUAAGCGUUGUUCGGAAUUACUGGGCGUAAAGGGCUCGUAGGCGGCCAACUAAGCCAUACGUGAAAUCCCUCAGCUUAACUGGGGAACUGCGUGUGAUACUGGAUGGCUUGGAUUUGGGAGAGGGAUGCGGAAUUCCAGGUGUAGCGGUGAAAUGCGUAGAUAUCUGGAGGAACACCGGUGGCGAAGGCGGCAUCCUGGACCAAUAUUGACGCUGAGGAGCGAAAGCCAGGGGAGCAAACGGG
rnacentral:rRNA from 1 species